rfam:Pelodiscus sinensis unplaced genomic scaffold scaffold1681, whole genome shotgun sequence.
GAUGAAGUGGCUGAGUGGUUAAGGUGAUGGCUUGCUAAUCCAUUGUCCUCUGCAUGCAUGGGUUCAAAUCCCAUUCUCAUCG